rnacentral:rRNA from 1 species
CCUACGGGCGGCAGCAGUGAGGAAUAUUGGUCAAUGGCCGAGAGGCUGAACCAGCCAAGUCGCGUGAGGGAAGACGGCCCUACGGGUUGUAAACCUCUUUUGUCGGGGAGCAAAGAGAGUCACGUGUGACUCAUUGAGAGUACCCGAAGAAAAAGCAUCGGCUAACUCCGUGCCAGCAGCCGCGGUAAUACGGAGGAUGCGAGCGUUAUCCGGAUUUAUUGGGUUUAAAGGGUGCGCAGGGGGGGGUGCAAGUCAGCGGUCAAAUUGCGGGGCUCAACCCCGUACUGCCGUUGAAACUACAUGCCUUGAGUGCGCGAGAGGUAUGCGGAAUGCGUGGUGUAGCGGUGAAAUGCAUAGAUAUCACGCAGAACUCCGAUUGCGAAGGCAGCAUACCGGCGCGCAACUGACGCUCAUGCACGAAAGCGUGGGUAUCGAACAGGAUUAGAUACCCUUGUAGUC